UUUUCGAAUUGUUGUAUAACUUUUGUCGGAAUUGUCUUUUACUAAUCGUACUUUUUAGGAUUAUCUACAUUAAAAUAAUUAUAAACCGGAGGGGGCACCUUGUAUAGCUGUAUUUAUAAGAAGAGGUUUAGUCUCGUACCUUUUGUAUCACGGUCUGAAGAGGGUGAUACCUUAUUGGUUUUUCCUGAAAACCCAGGAUUUACUCCCGUAAUUUGAAUUGUUGUUCCAUUAACAAGAUUAAGGCGGGGGUGGAUAGUGAUAUGCUGUCGAUUGGGUUGAUAUCUGGUUGUUGGGGAGACAUGUUUAGCAUGGAUGAGAUCUAGAUUAAUGCGUACGUGUUUUCGCUUGUCGCAAUUUUGGUGUUUAUUCAGUCAACCCCGGGUUAGCGGGGUUGUUUUCGGUUGAUUAUGUUUUACUAAAUCGAAGAGAGUAGGGGUUGUAGUGUCCUUCUUUUUGGAGUUUUUUUCAAGACGAUUCGUUUAUAUGUUGAAUUGAUUGGGUACCCAGCUAAUGAAAUCAAUUUUCUUUUAUUAAUUAGUUUAGAAUGAGUAAUAGUAGUUAUCGUUUCUUAUACGAAUUCUCUUUUAAUUCGAAAUAUAUUAACUAGCAUUAAAUAUAGGGUUUGGUGUCGGUCGACCAAAGACUGUAUAUGAGUGGGUUUAUGUUUCCCUUAGCAGGGGGCAUAGGUGUUAAUUGCCCCUAAGGAACUCGGCAAAUAGGCUUCUGCGCCUGUUUACUAAAAACAUCUCUCCUAGUAGGGCGAUUAGGAGUAGGCCCUGCCCAGUGAUUAAGUUUUAACGGCAACGUUAAGUUUUAAAGUAGCGUGGUAAUUUGUCCCUUAAUUAGGGUCUGGUAUGAAUGGGUUGACGUGGAAGGGCUGUCUCGGGGGUAGGUUUUGUGAAAUUUUCUUUCUAGUGAAAAGCCUGGGAUGUGUUUAAAAGACGAGAAGACCCCGUCGAGCUUGAUUACCCACUUGAAUUUUCAUCUGGGUGAAGUUUUGUUGGGGCAAUAAAGGAGAAAGGAAACCUCCUGUUAUUUUUUACAUGGAUCCACCUUUGGGGAUAAAAGGAAAAAGCUACCGCGGGGAUAACAGCGCAAAAUCAUCUGAUAGGCCAUAUUGAAGUUGAUGAUUGCGACCUCGAUGUUGGAUUAAGGUUUACAGCUUGGCGCAGAAGCUUAGCUAAGUGGGACUGUUCGUCCUUUAAAUCCUUACAUGAUCUGAGUUAAAACCGGCGUGAGCUAGG
rnacentral:rRNA from 1 species